ensembl:ncRNA lncRNA:CR44051 long non-coding RNA:CR44051
ACAGAAGCAAGAGCAUUCGAAAACUCCUCCCUUCGACAUUUUAGGAGGACUCUCGACGCACAAAAAACAAAUCCUUGCCAAAGCCCUUUUACGAAACUGGUCAUGAUGGCCAGCAAAAAAAAAUGUUAACCGUAAAGGACGCAGCCUCGAAAAGUUCGAUCUGAAAAUGGGAUCAAGGGGAUUGCACGAUUCGAUUGUUUAAUUACUCAAACAUUCAAUGAAAGGGCAGCGAGUGGUGGCCAUAAAAUAAACAUAUUCAGCUAAAGUUAAAGUUUGGAGUCUUGUAAUCUGGGGUAUUUUAAAUGAACCAUUUAAUAAUUCUGAUAAAAAUAGAUUUUUUAAAAAUGUGUUUUAAGUGAAAUAAACUACAACUACAUACCAC